GCUGAUAGUCAUAUACAAAAAAUAGGAAAUGGCCAUCACUUUGAAUGAGACUAACCAUGGAGUCCUAAAGUAAAGGCAUUCAUUAGCCAUCUGUCCAAGCUGAAGCACAAAGGCAUGAUCAAAACUCAUGGCAGCCUCAAGUUCCUGGGUUCAAAUGAUCCUCUCACCUCAGCCUUGCAAGUAGAGCACUAUCUUCAUCAGAGGAUUUGAUGCAUGAACACUGUAGAUGAUUGAAUUGAGCUUCACUGGAUGAUAGCAUGUGUUUGCG
rnacentral:lncRNA from 1 species